rfam:Microgenomates (Beckwithbacteria) bacterium GW2011_GWC2_47_9 TY17_C0022, whole genome shotgun sequence.
GCUCCCAUAGUUGAAUGGAUACAAUGCCUCCCUCCGAAGGAGGCGGUGCAGGUUCGAUUCCUGCUGGGAGCA